rnacentral:rRNA from 1 species
GAUGAACGCUAGCUACAGGCUUAACACAUGCAAGUCGAGGGGUAGCAGGGUAGCAAUACCGCUGACGACCGGCGCACGGGUGAGUAACACGUAUCCAACCUUCCCAUAACUCGGGGAUAGCCUUUCGAAAGAAAGAUUAAUACCUGAUAGUACUUAAGAAAGGCAUCUUUUUUAAGUUAAAGAUUUAUUGGUUAUGGAUGGGGAUGCGUUCCAUUAGAUAGUUGGUGAGGUAACGGCUCACCAAGUCUUCGAUGGAUAGGGGUUCUGAGAGGAAGGUCCCCAACAUUGGUACUGAGACACGGACCAAACUCCUACUGGAGGCAGCAGUGAGGAAUAUUGGUCAAUGGGCGAGAGCCUGAACCAGCCAAGUAGCGUGAAGGAUGAAGGUCCUAUGGAUUGUAAACUUCUUUUAUAGUAGAAUAAAGUGAACCACGUGUGGUUUUUUGUAUGUAUACUAUGAAUAAGGAUCGGCUAACUCCGUGCCAGCAGCCGCCGUAA